AAGAGGAGUCGACUGGGUUGUAGGUGGCAACCGGGUUUGCGCCAGGCUGCACCCACACAGAGGGGCUGGGGACUGGGAUGCCAUGCUGAGAAGAGGCGGUAGUCUGGAGAAGGCUAAAUAUCCGGGAGCUGUCGUUGUUCAGCCAGCAUCAAACCCGGACUGCACUGCACCACUGUUAGCACUAUUGCACCCGGAGCGCUCACUGUUGGACUGGUGAUUGUGUAGGUGUUUUAAAGUGUGUGUUUAUUGUUAUUAGCAUUUCGGGACUGAACCCUGUGGUUUUAUUGACUAUACUCAUCGUGUAUAGUCAGUGUUAUUAUUUAAAGGCCCUUAAUAAAGCUUUGUUAUUUACCAUUGAACUGUUUUUGAACUUUUGUUUCUAAGCACUGUGUAACCCAUCUUUGGCUACUUCUAAUCCUAGGUCCGUAUAAAAGGUUUGGAUAAUAGGAAAAAAAAAAUAAAGCACUGUGACAGAGAGCAAAUUAAUCCGAAUCAACAAUCUCCCUCUCGACCUGUGAGGGCACUGUGCAACAGGAACUGCGUGCUGCAUACUGAAUUGUUGGGCAAUUCAUUCCAGGGGCAGUCGGAAGCCGGCCAUUCAGGAAGGGGAUGGCUUUACAGUACCAGGGGUCCUCACCCUAGUACGACAGCUAUUAUACAUAUCCAGGAGCUGCCGCUUCAAGCCAGCCAUAAGCCCAGACUUCACUGCACCUGUACACCAGCAAGCACUCCUGGAUCAAGUACCGCACCUGCACCUAGAGCACGCACUGUCCGGAGACGUGUCUGUGUUGUGUGUCUGUGUUUUGUGUAUUAUUUUUUCGGGACUGCAUCCCCUUGGUGUAUACACUGGCAAUACCCAUAGUUGGGUAGAGCUAGCAUUUAUUAUUUAUAUGGUCAAGGAGA